rnacentral:lncRNA from 1 species
UUGCUACGUGUGUUAUCAUAACACAAACAGUUAAGAGACAGCUUGUAGACAGCUUCAUUAGAAAUUUCUCACCCAGAAUCAAAGAUUUUACAUCCUAGGCCUGGAUGUGAACCUUGACCUGGACAAUCUUACAGAUAAUAAUAGAAGAGUCACCUAAAAUUGCACAGGCAAAUUCAUCAGAUUCAGAUCCUGUCCUGCCAUCUUCAGGUAGACGCAGUAGUGGAUAUCCUGGCGAACCUUUAUUGGACUUACAGCCACCUUGGGACAAUCCCCCAUAACAAAUGUGCAUCUUAGGCUUGGCAAUCUCAAUCAGUUUUGUAGGAAAGGAGUAUUGGCACCAUUGGAUUGACAAAUAUUGACAACUGACAGUUCAGUCACACUAAACUAUAGUGGCAUGUUGCUUCAAGUUACCACACUUAUUCUAAGAUUGCUGAAUUAUCAUUACUGUCUAAGGAGACACUAGAUCUCUCAACCAGAAGAAGAAACUUGGGGAUCAAUCAGCUAUAAGAUAAAAAUCUCUGGAACACUACCCAUCACUGUUGUGUUCAGUAUAUGGAAAAGAUGACCGUGAUAUUGGAACCUUGGAGAUUCAUAACUUGAUUUCACUCCUGUGAAAAGUUACUGCUUUGUUCUUUUACUGUCCAGUUGAUAAUAUGAAAAUAAAGC